GGGAAUGUAGCUCAAUGGCAGAGCACUUGCCUAUCAUGCACGAGGCUCUGGGUUCAAUCCCCAGUACCACUA
rnacentral:tRNA from 1 species